UACGUAGGGUGCAAGCGUUGUCCGGAAUUAUUGGGCGUAAAGAGCUCGUAGGCGGUUCGUCGCGUCGGCUGUGAAAUCCCGAGGCUCAACCUCGGGUCUGCAGUCGAUACGGGCGGACUGGAGUUCGGCAGGGGAGACUGGAAUUCCUGGUGUAGCGGUGAAAUGCGCAGAUAUCAGGAGGAACACCGGUGGCGAAGGCGGGUCUCUGGGCCGACACUGACACUGAGAGACGAAAGCUAGGGGAGCAAAUGGG
rnacentral:rRNA from 1 species